GACGAACGCUGGCGGCGUGCUUAACACAUGCAAGUCGAACGGUAAGGCCCUUCGGGGUACACGAGUGGCGAACGGGUGAGUAACACGUGGGUGAUCUGCCCUGCACUUCGGGAUAAGACUGGGAAACUGGGUCUAAUACCGGAUAGGACUCCGGACUGCAUGGUCUGGGGUCGAAAGCCUUUGCGGGGUGGGAUGGGCCCGCGGCCUAUCAGCUUGUUGGUGGGGUGAUGGCCUACCAAGGCGACGACGGGUAGCCGGCCUGAGAGGGUGACCGGCCACACUGGGACUGAGAUACGGCCCAGACUCCUACGGGAGGCAGCAGUGGGGAAUAUUGCACAAUGGGCGCAAGCCUGAUGCAGCGACGCCGCGUGAGGGAUGACGGCCUUCGGGUUGUAAACCUCUUUCAGCAUCGACGAAGCGAAAGUGACGGUAGGUGCAGAAGAAGGACCGGCCAACUACGUGCCAGCAGCCGCCGUAA
rnacentral:rRNA from 1 species